CGCGGUCCUCGGUAGUGAUUCCCGGGAACAAUCGGUGACGAUUGCCCCGUGGAUCUCGAUCGAUGACCGGG
rfam:Arthrobacter sp. YN chromosome, complete genome.